rnacentral:tRNA from 1 species
AGGUCCUUAGCUCAGUUGGUAGAGCAUCGGUCUCCAAAACCGAGGGUCGAAGGUUCGAGUCCUUCAGGGCCUGCCA